rnacentral:rRNA from 1 species
GAUGAACGCUGGCGGCGUGCCUAAUACAUGCAAGUCGAGCGAACGGACGAGAAGCUUGCUUCUCUGAUGUUAGCGGCGGACGGGUGAGUAACACGUGGAUAACCUACCCAUAAGACUGGGAUAACUUCGGGAAACCGGAGCUAAUACCGGAUAAUAUUUUGAACCGCAUGGUUCAAAAGUGAAAGACGGUCUUGCUGUCACUUAUAGAUGGAUCCGCGCUGCAUUAGCUAGUUGGUAAGGUAACGGCUUACCAAGGCAACGAUGCAUAGCCGACCUGAGAGGGUGAUCGGCCACACUGGAACUGAGACACGGUCCAGACUCCUACGGGAGGCAGCAGUAGGGAAUCUUCCGCAAUGGGCGAAGGCCUGACGGAGCAACGCCGCGUGAGUGAUGAAGGUCUUCGGAUCGUAAAACUCUGUUAUUAGGGAAGAACAUAUGUGUAAGUAACUGUGCACAUCUUGACGGUACCUAAUCAGAAAGCCACGGCUAACUACGUG